rnacentral:tRNA from 1 species
AGGAUUAUAGUUUAUAUUAAAAAACAUUUGAUUUGCAAUCAAAAAAUAUUGAUUUCAAUUUAUCUU